AUGGUACCACUAGCCACAUAUGGCGAUUGGCCACUUACAUGCACCUAGUGAGACUGAAGAAGUAAAAUUUUAAUUUUAUUGAACUUUAAUUUAUAUUUAAAUAGCCACAUAUGACUAACAGCUGCCAUAUUGUACAGCAUGGUUUUAGGCACCCCAUUUUGAUAAAUUCACUUGUCUUGUCCCAUUCAACUUGGUUACAUAAUUCUAGAUGGCCUGCUUAGUGAGAAAUGACAUUGUUGUCCUCCAGGCUCCAGCUUUCAAGAUUCCAUGCUUUACAGUCCUCUUUCCUCACUUUUGUCCUCAAGAGAAAGAUUUGCUUCAUACCAAGUAAUAAAUUGGCCAGCUUUGUCCAAAGGUCUUCCGUAACCCCUCCAAGAUGGAUUAAAAAAUUGAGAGCUUCCCUUGGCUGCUUCUGAACCAGUGGACUGCUGAGCGGGAUUGCGGAAGGAGGUGACCCAGCCUGCCCCUGUUCCACUUACUGAAUGCUGCUCAGAAACCACAGUGGAUUUGCUGCAGAGGGCCUCGGCUAUGACGCAGAGAAAAUGGUCUUAUUUCCUUACAUGAUUAAUGCCAAGGCAUGGCUUGGUAAAAAGAGGAUUAUGCCAGACCAAUGUUAUUUCCUUUUGUGCUAAAGGGGC
rnacentral:lncRNA from 1 species